CUCUUAUCCCGAGUCGGUGGAGGGACAGGCCCUAAGAAACCCAGCAACCAUCAUUUCAUUGAAAAGAAAUGAAAAGGUGCUAACCUGCAAGGUAUAAUCCUUGGAUGAUAAGAG
rfam:Bacillus sp. TS-2 DNA, contig: BspTS2nb06.